rnacentral:rRNA from 1 species
UGGGGAAUCUUGCGCAAUGGCCGCAAGGCUGACGCAGCGACGCCGCGUGCGGGAGGACGCCCUUCGGGGUGUAAACCGCUGUUGCCCGGGACGAACCUAGAGUUUCGACGCGACUGACGGUACCGGGUGAGGAAGCACCGGCUAACUCCGUGCCAGCAGCCGCGGUAAUACGGAGGGUGCGAGCGUUGUCCGGAAUCACUGGGCGUAAAGGGCGCGUAGGCGGCUUCUUAAGCGUGCGGUGAAAGCCCGGGGCUCAACCCCGGGUCGGCCGUGCGAACUGGGGAGCUGGAGCACUGUAGAGGCAGAUGGAAUUCCGGGUGUAGCGGUGGAAUGCGUAGAGAUCCGGAAGAACACCGGUGGCGAAGGCGGUCUGCUGGGCAGUGGCUGACGCUGAUGCGCGACAGCGUGGGGAGCAAACAGGAUUAGAUACCCCCGUAGUCC